rfam:Stegodyphus mimosarum contig42434, whole genome shotgun sequence.
GCCUCCAUGGUGUAGUGGUCAGCACGCUCGGCGCGUAUUCGAGAGGUCCGUGGUUCGAGUCCCGGCGAGGGCA